UGUGGGAAGGCCCAGACAGCCAGGAUGUUGGCUUAGAAGCAGCCAUCAUUUAAAGAAAGCGUAAUAGCUCACUGGUCGAGUCGGCCUGCGCGGAAGAUGUAACGGGGCUAAACCAUGCACCGAAGCUGCGGCAGCGACACUCAGGUGUUGUUGGGUAGGGGAGCGUUCUGUAAGCCUGUGAAGGUGUGUCGUGAGGCAUGCUGGAGGUAUCAGAAGUGCGAAUGCUGACAUAAGUAACGAUAAAGCGGGUGAAAAGCCCGCUCGCCGGAAGACCAAGGGUUCCUGUCCAACGUUAAUCGGGGCAGGGUGAGUCGACCCCUAAGGCGAGGCCGAAAGGCGUAGUCGAUGGGAAACGGGUUAAUAUUCCCGUACUUGGUGUUACUGCGAAGGGGGGACGGAGAAGGCUAUGUUGGCCGGGCGACGGUUGUCCCGGUUUAAGCGUGUAGGCUGGUUUUCCAGGCAAAUCCGGAAAAUCAAGGCUGAGGCGUGAUGACGAGGCACUACGGUGCUGAAGCAACAAAUGCCCUGCUUCCAGGAAAAGCCUCUAAGCAUCAGGUAACAUCAAAUCGUACCCCAAACCGACACAGGUGGUCAGGUAGAGAAUACCAAGGCGCUUGAGAGAACUCGGGUGAAGGAACUAGGCAAAAUGGUGCCGUAACUUCGGGAGAAGGCACGCUGACACGUAGGUGAAGUGAUUUACUCAUGGAGCUGAAGUCAGUCGAAGAUACCAGCUGGCUGCAACUGUUUAUUAAAAACACAGCACUGUGCAAACACGAAAGUGGACGUAUACGGUGUGACGCCUGCCCGGUGCCGGAAGGUUAAUUGAUGGGGUCAGCGCAAGCGAAGCUCCUGAUCGAAGCCCCGGUAAACGGCGGCCGUAACUAUAACGGUCCUAAGGUAGCGAAAUUCCUUGUCGGGUAAGUUCCGACCUGCACGAAUGGCGUAAUGAUGGCCAGGCUGUCUCCACCCGAGACUCAGUGAAAUUGAACUCGCUGUGAAGAUGCAGUGUACCCGCGGCAAGACGGAAAGACCCCGUGAACCUUUACUAUAGCUUGACACUGAACAUUGAGCCUUGAUGUGUAG
rnacentral:rRNA from 1 species